UUCAGUGUCAAAGGAAGUCAGAACAGAAAACAAAGUUGGUCGAGAAAAAAUGUUCGGGGAAAAAAUAAAUUGAAACGCCUACAAAUAUUGAGAUCAAGUUUCAUUCAAUUGUAAAACAAUUGUUCCAAAGAUAAGGGUAAGAAAAUUAAGCCUGCAACAAUGAUAUCCUGAGUGUUGAAAGAGCUCUUUUUCGGGAGAUUGCUAGAGAAAAGCUGCAAAUAAGAAAAGCUGAAAGCCUUUCUUCAUUGUUUCAGUGUUCAUUCAAUUAUAAAUCAACUGUGUAAAAAAAGCAGGCCACUGACGAUAAAUAUUUUGGCCACUGUUGCGUCAAAUCUUCGGAAGAAAUUCAGCUACCAUGAGAAAGAUAUUACAAGAAAUUGAAGGGAACCAACCACCAGCACCAGCACCUUUCUCAACAGCCAGGGAUUUGCGGGCCAAGAAGCGUGAAUUGGCCAAAGAAAAGGCCGAGGCCAAGAAGGAGUCCUCUGUGAAGAAGUCGCGGAAGCGCAAGUUCACAGAUCCUGUUAGUAUUGACACUGAGUCGAGUGACUCCACUGAUUCCUCGGACUCGGACUACGUUCCGUCCCAAUCUUCAUGGAAAUUUGAGUAGAGUGCAGUGAAGGUCCACCAAUAUUGCUGUCCCGGCAGUAGUUGACAGGUCCUCUGCCUAAAUGAAUAUCGUACCAUUUUAAAUUUUAAUUUCACCAAUAGUACAAAAAGAAAAUAUGUCAAAUAAAUAAUAGCACCGAAAC
rnacentral:sRNA from 1 species